GGGGCAGCGGGAAGGUUAGCUUGCUAAUCUUUGCCGGCGACCGGCGCACGGGUGAGUAACACGUAUGCAACCUGUCCGGUACAGGGGGAUAAGCGGCGGAAACGCCGUCUAAUACCGCGUGACAACCCGAGGGGGCAUCCCCUUGGGUUCAAAGGAGAGAUCCGGUACCGGCUGGGCAUGCGGCGCAUUAGCUAGUUGGCGGGGCAACGGCCCACCAAGGCGACGAUGCGUAGGGGUUCUGAGAGGAAGGUCCCCCACACUGGAACUGAGACACGGUCCAGACUCCUACGGGAGGCAGCAGUGAGGAAUAUUGGUCAAUGGGCGCAAGCCUGAACCAGCCAAGUCGCGUGAGGGAAGACGGCCCUACGGGUUGUAAACCUCUUUUGCCGGGGAGCAAGCCUGAGCACGUGUGCCCAGGCGGAGAGUACCCGGAGAAAAAGCAUCGGCUAACUCCGUGCCAGCAGCCGCGGUAAUACGGAGGAUGCGAGCGUUAUCCGGAUUUAUUGGGUUUAAAGGGUGCGCAGGCGGGCUGUUAAGCCGGCGGUAAAAAUUCAGGGCUCAACCCUGUCGAGCCGUCGGAACUGGCAGUCUCGAGUCGGCGAGAAGUAUGCGGAAUGCGUGGUGUAGCGGUGAAAUGCAUA
rnacentral:rRNA from 1 species